rnacentral:rRNA from 1 species
UGCCAGCCGCCGCGGUAACACGAACCGGACGACCGUUAUUCGGAAUCACUGGGCUUAAAGAGUGCGUAGGCGGUCCAUUAAGUUGGGUGUGAAAUCCCUCGGCUCAACCGAGGAACUGCGCCCAAAACUAGUGGGCUUGAGGGAGACAGGGGUGAGCGGAACUGAUGGUGGAGCGGUGAAAUGCGUUGAUAUCAUCAGGAACACCGGUGGCGAAGGCGGCUUUCUGGACCGAUACUGACGCUGAGACGCGAAAGCGUGGGGAGCAAACAGGAUUAGAUA